rnacentral:rRNA from 1 species
GACGAACGCUGGCGGCGUGCCUAAUACAUGCAAGUCGAACGAGAGCAACCGGUGCUUGCACUGGUCAAUCUAGUGGCGAAGGGGUGAGUAACACGUGGGUAACCUGCCCAUCAGAGGGGGAUAACAUCCGGAAACGGAUGCUAAAACCGCAUAGGUGUUCGAACCGCAUGGUUUGAAGAGGAAAAGAGGCGCAAGCUUCUGCUGAUGGAUGGACCCGCGGUGCAUUAGCUAGUUGGUGAGGUAACGGCUCACCAAGGCCGUGAUGCAUAGCCGACCUGAGAGGGUGAUCGUCCACAUUGGUACUGAGACACUGCCCAAACUCCUACGGGAUGCAUCAGUAUCGCAUCUUCCUCAAUGGACACAAGUCUCACGCACCAACGCCCCGUGAGUGAAGAAGGUUUUCUGAUCGUAAAACUCUGUUGUUAGAGAAUAACCAGUCCUAGAGUAACUGUUACCGCCUUAACGGUAUCUAACCAGAAAGCCACGGCUAACUACGUG